rnacentral:rRNA from 1 species
UACGUAGGGUGCAAGCGUUGUCCGGAAUUAUUGGGCGUAAAGAGCUCGUAGGCGGUCUGUCGCGUCGGCUGUGAAAUCUCGGGGCUCAACCCCGAGCGGUCGUGAGAAACUGGCAGGCUAGAGUGCGGGAGAGGAGAGUGGAAUUCCUGGUGUAGCGGUGAAAUGCGCAGAUAUCAGGAAGAACACCCGUGGCGAAGGCGGCUCUCUGGAACGCAACUGGACGCUGAGACGCGAAAGCGUGGGGAGCAAACAGG